UUCAGUUGCAUGUACACCUGUGUUUACAUUCUUGGGGAGGUCAGAGGUCAAUGACAGAUAUCUUUAAUUGUUGUCCACUUGAUUAACAGUCAAUACUUUGGAGGUUUAACAUAUGUUUUUAGUUUUUUAAAGAGUUUUUUAUGUCUAUGAGUGUUUUGCUUGCACACCUGAUGCCCUGGGAGAAGAGAAGAGGGAGUCAGAUCCUGGGAGUUAGAGCUGCAGUUCUGGAUGGAUGUAGGUACUAGAAAUUGAACCCAGGUUCUCUGCAAGAUAAGGAAGUACUCUUAUCUUCAAAGCCAUCUCUCCAGCCCCACCAUUUUGGGUCUUGAAGACAGGGUCUCAUAGAACCCAGACUGGUCCUGCUGUUUCUGUCUCCCACGGGUUGGCUUAUAGGCACUAACCACCACACCUAGAUUUCCAUCUUCUUUUUUUAAAACAGUCUUCUAUUGAAUUUGGCACUCACAGAUCCAGCUAGAUUGGCUGGCCAAUUAACUCUGAAAUUGACUCAUUCCACCCUUAACCCCCCAGUGCUGGGAUUGUACGUAUGUACCACACGCAGCUUUGAGAUGGAUUCUGGAAUCUGAAUCCAGGUUCUCUUGCAUGUGUGUCACACUCUCCUCACUGAGCCACCUCCCAGCCUUGAACACCCAUCCUUGACAAGACAAGAUGUGGGCAAGGACAGCAUCCCUGGGCAAACACGGAGCUGGGAUAUGAGGGAGCAUAUCACAAAGAAGAUAAGGAUCUGGGAAAAUGAUUCUGACUUUGAGAAGAGAGAAGCCAUCACGGAAAUAAAUGAAGACGACAUCCACUGAAUGGCACCUCAGAAGGGAACCCUCAGACAAGAUACAAAGAGACACCAAAGCAGAAAGCAGCAGACAGAAACCAGUUCUGGCAGUGGUGGCCCCAAGCCUGGCUCUUCCCCAGGGCUGGGAUUCUGGCUGUAUUCUUCUGGGAGACACAUAACCUUGGAGGAAGGGGAAAACAAUAAGACUCUGGGAAGUAAACAGCAAGAGAGCACAUGUUUAAAAGGGACAGAGUGAAGCAAGUCACCCAAAAGAGAUGGGAUAUUCAAACAGUUUUAAGGAGGAAUUGGCCAGCCUUGGAAUUUCAGUGAAGAAAAGUCUCAAAAGCAGACCUUGGCUGCCCUACUUAGUACCGGCUCAGGAAGACAGGAGCCCUGAAUUGUGGAUUGUGAAUGUUUCCAGCUCUGUUUGGCAAGAUCAGGACGUCUUAGCUCAACUGGACUAGACAUAUAACUUCUCUAGUUGCUCUGUUUGGUUCUAUGUUUGCCUGUAACCUUAUGACUCCUAGUAGAUGUGCUAACACAA
rnacentral:lncRNA from 1 species